GAUGAACGCUGGCGGCGUGCCUAAUACAUGCAAGUCGAGCGAACAGACGAGGAGCUUGCUCCUCUGACGUUAGCGGCGGACGGGUGAGUAACACGUGGAUAACCUACCUCUAAGACUGGGAUAACUUCGGGAAACCGGAGCUAAUACCGGAUAAUAUAUUGAACCGCAUGGUUCAAUAGUGAAAGACGGCUUUGCUGUUACUUAUAGAUGGAUCCGCGCCGCAUUAGCUAGUUGGUAAGGUAACGGCUUACCAAGGCAACGAUGCGUAGCCGACCUGAGAGGGUGAUCAGCCACACUGGAACUGAGACACGGUCCAGACUCCUACGGGAGGCAGCAGUAGGGAAUCUUCCGCAAUGGGCGAAAGCCUGACGGAGCAACGCCGCGUGAGUGAUGAAGGUCUUCGGAUCGUAAAGCUCUGUUAUUAGGGAAGAACAAAUGUGUAAGUAACUAUGCACGUCUUGACGGUACCUAAUCAGAAAGCCACGGCUAACUACGUG
rnacentral:rRNA from 1 species